AGAGCAGCGGUGGCUCGGACUGCUUUGCAAGCAGGGGGUUAGGGGUUCGAGUCCCCUAGGCUCCA
rnacentral:tRNA from 1 species